GACGAACGCUGGCGGCGUGCCUAAUACAUGCAAGUAGAACGCACAGUUUAUACCGUAGCUUGCUACACCAUAGACUGUGAGUUGCGAACGGGUGAGUAACGCGUAGGUAACCUGCCUGGUAGCGGGGGAUAACUAUUGGAAACGAUAGCUAAUACCGCAUAAUAUUAAUUAUUGCAUGAUAAUUAAUUGAAAGGUGCAAUUGCACCACUACCAGAUGGACCUGCGUUGUAUUAGCUAGUAGGUGAGGUAACGGCUCACCUAGGCGACGAUACAUAGCCGACCUGAGAGGGUGAUCGGGCAAACUGGGACUGAGACAAGGCCCAGACUCCCACGGGAGGCAGCAGUAGGGAAUCUUCGGCAAUAGACGAAAGUCUGACCGAGCAACGCCGGGUGAGUGAAGAAGGUUUUCGGAUCGUAAAGCUCUGUUGUAAGAGAAGAACGGGUGUGAGAGUGGAAAGUUCACACUGUGACGGUAUCUUACCAGAAAGGGACGGCUAACUACGUG
rnacentral:rRNA from 1 species